GUGCUCACUUUGGCAGCACAUAUACUAAAAUUGGAACUAGACAGAGAUUGGCAUUGCCCCCGAGCAAGAAUGACACGCAAAUUCGUGAAGCCUUCAAUAAAAAAUAAAAUAAAUUUUU
ensembl:snRNA U6 U6 spliceosomal RNA